rnacentral:rRNA from 1 species
UUACGUUUUCACCGUUCGGGUGACGAGGGAGACGAGGUGGUGCAGUGGUUGUCGUCAGCUCGUGUCGUGAGAUGUUGGGUUAAGUCCCGCAACGAGCGCCAACCCCUAUUGUUAGUUGCCAUCAUUCAGUUGGGCACUCUAGCGAGACUGCCGGUAAUAACCGGAGGAAGGUGGGAUGACGUCAAAUCAUCAUGCCCCUUAUGACCUGGGCUACACACGUGCUACAAUGGUUGGUACAACGAGUUGCGAGUCGGUGACGGCGAGCUAAUCUCUUAAAGCCAAUCUCAGUUCGGAUUGUAGGCUGCAACUCGCCUACAUGAAGUCGGAAUCGCUAGUAAUCGCGGAUCAGCACGCCGCGGUGAAUACGUUCCCGGGCCUU